rnacentral:rRNA from 1 species
UAAAGUGGGGGCGUGCCUAUACAUGCAGUCGAGCGAUGGAUUAAGAGCUUGCUCUUAUGAAGUUAGCGCCGGAAGGGUGAGUAACACGUGGGUAACCUGCCCAUAAGACUGGGAUAACUCCGGGAAACCGGGGCUAAUACCGGAUAACAUUUUGAACCGCAUGGUUCGAAAUUGAAAGGCGGCUUCGGCUGUCACUUAUGGAUGGACCCGCGUCGCAUUAGCUAGUUGGUGAGGUAACGGCUCACCAAGGCAACGAUGCGUAGCCGACCUGAGAGGGUGAUCGGCCACACUGGGACUGAGACACGGCCCAGACUCCUACGGGAGGCAGCAGUAGGGAAUCUUCCGCAAUGGACGAAAGUCUGACGGAGCAACGCCGCGUGAGUGAUGAAGGCUUUCGGGUCGUAAAACUCUGUUGUUAGGGAAGAACAAGUGCUAGUUGAAUAAGCUGGCACCUUGACGGUACCUAACCAGAAAGCCACGGCUAACUACGUGCCAGCAGCCGCGGUAAUACGUAGGUGGCAAGCGUUAUCCGGAAUUAUUGGGCGUAAAGCGCGCGCAGGUGGUUUCUUAAGUCUGAUGUGAAAGCCCACGGCUCAACCGUGGAGGGUCAUUGGAAACUGGGAGACUUGAGUGCAGAAGAGGAAAGUGGAAUUCCAUGUGUAGCGGUGAAAUGCGUAGAGAUAUGGAGGAACACCAGUGGCGAAGGCGACUUUCUGGUCUGUAACUGACACUGAGGCGCGAAAGCGUGGGGAGCAAACAGGAUUUAGAUACCCUGGUAGUCCACGCCGUAAAGAAUGAGUGCUAAGUGUUAGAGGGGUUUCCGCCCUUUUAUGCUGAAGUAAACGCAUUUAAGCACCUCCGCCUGGGGAGUACGGGCCGCAAGGGCUGAAACUCAAAGGGAAUUUGACGGGGGGGCCCG